GGGUGCGAUCAUUCCAUUACUAAAGCAUCGGAUCUCAUCAGAACUCUAAAGUUAAGUGUGUUUGGGCGAUGACCCCCUAAGAAGACCCCGUGUUGCACUAC
rnacentral:rRNA from 1 species